ACGUAGGAGGCGAGCGUUGUCCGGAGUUACUGGGCGUAAAGGGUGCGCAGGUGGCCGCGCGCGUGGGGAGUGAAAUCGCCCGGCUUAACUGGGCGGGGGCUUUCCAGACGGCGGGGCUUGAGCCACAGAGGGGGGCGUGGAAUUCCGGGUGGAGCGGUGAAAUGCGUAGAGAUCCGGAGGAAGACCGGUGGCGAAGGCGGUCUGCUGGGCAGUUUCUGACACUGAGGCGCGACAGCGUGGGGAGCAAACAGGA
rnacentral:rRNA from 1 species